ACGCAGUGAAUUCACCGGAGCUUGCUCCACCGAAUUGACUGANUCGCGAACGGGUGAGUAACGCGUAGGUAACCAACCUUAUAGCGGGGGACAACUAUUGGAAACGAUAGCUAAUACCGCAUAACAAUGACAAACACAUGUUAGUGAUUUGAAAGGGGCAAAUGCUCCACUAUAAGCUGGACCUGCGUUGUAUUAGCUAGUUGGUAGGGUAAAGGCCUACCAAGGCUGCGAUACAUAGCCGACCUGAGAGGGUGAACGGCCACACUGGGACUGAGACACGGCCCAGACUCCUACGGGAGGCAGCAGUAGGGAAUCUUCGGCAAUGGGGGGAACCCUGACCGAGCAACGCCGCGUGAGUGAAGAAGGUUUUCGGAUCGUAAAGCUCUGUUGUCAGAGAAGAACGGGUGUGAGAGUGGAAAGUUCACACAGUGACGGUACCUGACGAGAAAGGGACGGCUAACUACGUGCCAGCAGCCGCGGUAAUACGUAGGUCCCGAGCGUUGUCCGGAUUUAUUGGGCGUAAAGCGAGCGCAGGCGGCUCUGUAAGUCUGAAGUAAAAGGCAGUGGCUUAACCAUUGUGUGCUUUGGAAACUGCGGGGCUUGAGUGCAGAAGGGGAGAGUGGAAUUCCAUGUGUAGCGGUGAAAUGCGUAGAUAUAUGGAGGAACACCGGUGGCGAAAGCGGCUCUCUGGUCUGAGACUGACGCUGAGGCUCGAAAGCGUGGGUAGCGAAC
rnacentral:rRNA from 1 species